AGUGAACGCUGGCGGUAGGCCUAACACAUGCAAGUCGAACGGCAGCACCGUAAGAGCUUGCUCUUACGGGUGGCGAGUGGCGGACGGGUGAGGAAUACAUCGGAACCUACUUUUUCGUGGGGGUUAACGUAGGGAAACUUACGCUCAUACCGCAUACGACCUACGGGUGUGAGCAGUGGAUAUUCGGAGCUUGUGCGAUUGGAUGAGCCGAUGUCGGGUUAGCUAGUUGGCGGGGUAAAGGCCCAGCAAGGCGAGGAUCCGUAGCUGGUCUGAGAGGAUGAUCAGCCACACGGGAGCUGAGACACGGUCCAGACUCCUACGGGAGGCAGCAGUGGGGAAUAUUGGACAAUGGGCGCAAGCCUGAUCCAGCCAUACCGCGUGGGUGAAGAAGGCCUUCGGGUUGUAAAGCCCUUUUGUUGGGAAAGAAAAGCAGCAGGUUAAGACCCCGCGGUUCUGACGGUACCCAAAGAAGAAGCACCGGCUAACUUCGUG
rnacentral:rRNA from 1 species